rnacentral:rRNA from 1 species
CCUACGGGAGGCAGCAGUGGGGAAUUUUGGACAAUGGGCGCAAGCCUGAUCCAGCAAUGCCGCGUGAGUGAAGAAGGCCUUCGGGUUGUAAAGCUCUUUUGUCAGGGAAGAAACGGUGAGAGCUAAUAUCUCUUGCUAAUGACGGUACCUGAAGAAUAAGCACCGGCUAACUACGUGCCAGCAGCCGCGGUAAUACGUAGGGUGCAAGCGUUAAUCGGAAUUACUGGGCGUAAAGCGUGCGCAGGCGGUUUUGUAAGUCUGUCGUGAAAUCCCCGGGCUCAACCUGGGAAUUGCGAUGGAGACUGCAAGGCUAGAAUCUGGCAGAGGGGGGUAGAAUUCCACGUGUAGCAGUGAAAUGCGUAGAGAUGUGGAGGAACACCGAUGGCGAAGGCAGCCCCCUGGGUCAAGAUUGACGCUCAUGCACGAAAGCGUGGGGAGCAAACAGGAUUAGAUACCCUGGUAGUCCACGCCCUAAACGAUGUCUACUAGUUGUCGGGUUUUAAUAACUUGGUAACGCAGCUAACGCGUGAAGUAGACCGCCUGGGGAAGUCGGUCGCAAGAUUAAAACUUAAAUGAAUUGACCGGNGUUGAGAGNGCGACGGACGACGACGAGGGAGGAGG